UACGUAGGUGGUAAGCGUUAUCCGGAAUUAUUGGGCGUAAAGCGCGCGUAGGCGGUUUCUUAAGUCUGAUGUGAAAGCCCACGGCUCAACCGUGGAGGGUCAUUGGAAACUGGGAAACUUGAGUGCAGAAGAGGAGAGUGGAAUUCCAUGUGUAGCGGUGAAAUGCGCAGAGAUAUGGAGGAACACCAGUGGCGAAGGCGACUUUCUGGUCUGUAACUGACGCUGAUGUGCGAAAGCGUGGGGAUCAAACAGGAUUAGAU
rnacentral:rRNA from 1 species